rnacentral:rRNA from 1 species
GGGGCUGUGAAACCGGCCUCGACACCUCCCCGCUUGCUUGCGCGCGGACUUCUAGGUGCACUUUCUCAAGCGGCCAGGCGGCUCCCUCUACCUGUGGGGCUUGAUGCAUGACGGUGUCCCGCACUCGGGCGCCGAGGACACGACAUUGAACCAUCUCAUUCAUGGAAUCGAUUGACUGCG